ensembl:lncRNA
UUAAUAGUCAUGUGACUUUUUUUUCUGCCAGCCAUGUGCUCCGUAUCAUUUUACUCUGAAAUAACUAUGCGGAUUUCAGCUCAACCCUCCCUUUGCUUAUAAUGCAUGACAUACCCCGUGAGGGAGCCUGAGAACAGACUCCCUUGAAAAGCAAGGUUCUCAUAGUUGGCCUGUAACCAUGGAAGCAGAUGCCGUUUUCUUCUUACCCUGCUUACCUCUUUGCAGCCUCGAGCUGCUCCUUAUUGUUAAAAGGGGUACGCCUUGAUUUUUCUUCAUCAUGACCGAACUUGCCUCUUCUUCAAAGGGCAUCAUGCUGCAGGUCAUUGGUCUAGACUGUUUGCACGGUCCAGAGAACAGCCUUGAUGUAACCCUUGCUCCGUCUGAGCCACACCACCAGCCGUGCAUCUGCAGACUGUAGGGGACAUUGGAGAUCUGUAUUUGAAAAGAAGUCUGUCUGAUUUUGCCAUUGUGCCUUUUCACUCAUCGAUCGAAUGAAUAUCGAACCUUCUGUCGUUGCAUGUGUGAAAUAGAUAGCUUAGCAAGCACUUUUGUGCCCAACCUGUGCAGUGGGCCAAAAGGUUUUCUUUUUAAUCUUCAGAUUUUUUUUUUCUUCAGACUUUAUGAAUUUCGUGUUAGCUUAAAUUAUUUAUAUGCCUUUAUCCAACUGUUAUGAUGACCGUUUCAGUGACUUCCUCAGCAGUGACUUUCUUUCAGGGGUAGAUGGAGCAUUUCUUUUUCUGUUAACUGCUUGGUAGCUUUUUAAGCUCCUUUAACUUAACUUGUUUAUGCUAGAAAUGGCGUAGGUUUUACUGUACUCUAUUAAGCCAAAAAGUUGAGGUUUCUUUUUUAAGGGGAAGAUGUGAUGAUUUCUAUCAUUGAACAGGCUUAAUUCCAGAAAGGUGAACUUGAACUGCCUCGAGGUAAUUUCAGUGAUUUGUAAAAAUGGUAUUCUCAAGCACUGAAAUAUCCUUAAAAGCACAUAAAUUCAUGGUGGUUUAUGAAAGGCACAUGAAAUUACUAUGACUCGGCAAAGGGGAGGUCCAUAGCAGAAUAAAGAAGGUUAUUGUGACAGAUGAAACAUAAUUCACAAUGAGUACUCUUUUCAUCCAGCCUUAAGCAGCAGAGGAUUACUUUCAAGCUGAAUUUUAUGGCAGAACAUAUGAACUGAGUUGUUUUUUCUUUGUUUUUUUUUUUAACAUGCAAGGAUAGAGCAAAGACAGAAAAACUCUCUUCAAUUGCGUGGUGUUUAUUUUGUGUGUAUCUCUUUGGGGCUCUUAAUUUGUUUCAUCUAAAACAGAAGAUAUGCUGGCCAGCAGAGUCUGAUGCAACCGAGGGAGUAGAUUGGGAGGGUAGGAAAUAUGAAAUUUAAAGCAAUAAAAGUUGUGGUUUUCCUGUGUAUAUAAUGAAUGAUACAUGAGGAGUUAAAUAUAUUUCUACAUUUUUGGCAUACAUAUGAAAUAAAAAUGAUACUUUUUUCAACAAAUGCAUGAGCUGCAAAAGUAGCCACUGCACAUGAUUAUUUGGGCUGUGCCCUGCAAAAUGGAGGCCAACCUGGGAGCAUUGGAAAAGAUCUAAAAGGUGUUGGCAGAUACAUACCUCCAUAGAUUCAGGUGCUAUGGCUUGGAUGUGGUUUGACUGGAUCCUUCGGUGGUCAAGGUAUGGCAAUGUUAAGAGGUGGUGGAAGCUUUAAGAGAUGGGAAGUAGUGGGGGAUAGUUACUAGCCCCUCUGUACUGUGGCUUCCUGUCUCAUCAUGACAUCUCUAUUUUCAUUCAUGCACAGUGUAGCCACCUGACCUUGAACUUCUGGCCUCCAAAACUAAGCCAAAUAAAC